rfam:Nicotiana attenuata strain TT chromosome 7, whole genome shotgun sequence.
UGGACAGAUUAUUGUAUUCGACUGUAUUCACGGCGUGAAACAGGGGAUUACACUAUUUUUAAACAGAAAGUGAAUCAAUUAACAUAAUAGACUCCU